rnacentral:rRNA from 1 species
CAGCAGCCGCGGGAAUACGUAGGGUGCAAGCGUUAAUCGGAAUUACUGGGCGUAAAGCGUGCGCAGGCGGUUAUAUAAGUCAGAUGUGAAAUCCCCGGGCUCAACCUGGGAACUGCAUUUGAGACUGUAUGGCUAGAGUGUGUCAGAGGGGGGUAGAAUUCCACGUGUAGCAGUGAAAUGCGUAGAUAUGUGGAGGAAUACCGAUGGCGAAGGCAGCCCUUUGGGAUAACACUGACGCUCAUGCACGAAAGCGUGGGGAGCAAACAGGAUUAGAGACCCCCGUAGUCCCUGUCUCUUAUAC